rnacentral:rRNA from 1 species
UACGUAGGGUGCGAGCGUUGUCCGGAAUUAUUGGGCGUAAAGAGCUCGUAGGCGGCUUGUCGCGUCGGAUGUGAAAGCCCGGGGCUUAACUCCGGGUCUGCAUUCGAUACGGGCUAGCUAGAGUGUGGUAGGGGAGAUCGGAAUUCCUGGUGUAGCGGUGAAAUGCGCAGAUAUCAGGAGGAACACCGGUGGCGAAGGCGGAUCUCCGGGCCAUUACUGACGCUGAGGAGCGAAAGCGUGGGGAGCGAACAGG